UAGAAACAUCCAUAUCUCCUUUCUCUCUUUUCUUACUAUCAACCUCAAGUCUUCACAGCGGAUUGCACUUCAGGAAACUGAUGGCACAAGGCAUAAAUGGAAGGAUUCUAAGAUGAAGAAACUAAAAUUACUAGCUGAAGUUUGUAUAUUGCAAGUCUCACAUAAGCACUGACGUACUGUCAUGAGAAGCAUGUUAUUCAUAGGGACAUAAAGCCGGAAAAUCUGUUACUUGAUCAUGAAGUAACAUCUUGAUAAGUACUAACCGCCUUCCUUUGCCACAUCUGGUAAGUUUUAUUAGCACCAUUUGCCAGAAGCAAGAAAAAUGAACACACUAGACACACAAUGUAAUUUUUCGACAAACCAAGGAGUGUCAAUAUGUAAUAUAUAUAUAUACACACAAAACAAAUACUUUUACCUAGACACACAAUGUAAUUUUUUGACAAAGGGGUGUCGAUCAACAUACACCUCAGAUAUAUGUGGUUCCACUACUGAGUGCAAGGUGGCUCCAACACGGACAAUGGAGUAACAUUUUGAAACAUUCUCUCAUAUGUUCCAACUCUGCAGGCAUUUAGAUUUCUCCUAAGAAUGAUAUUACUUGAGUUAUUGCUUCUCCUCUGAGUUGCAUUCCUAUCCUAUCCCCGCCUAUUCAAUAAUGAGAGAGUGAUCAGACCAAUUAGGUGUCUAGUAGUUGGAUAUGUAGGACGAGCAUUGUAAAACUUUGAGGUCGAUUAGUCCUAUGCUAAUAAAAUAGUUGAACAGAAAUUCCUUUAUAUACUUUGAUAAACAAUGUUGCUGGUUUGGAAGGAUUUGAGGAUUUCAGGUGUAGCUAUAUUGAAGUUAUUCAUUUGUCAACAAUGACUUUAUUUGCUAAAACUUCUAAACUUCCAAUUUCUUUUUGUCAUAUGAUUGGUUUUAUUGGAAGCAACAAGUAAGUGUCGGCAUCCCUUUAA